CCUCUGGCACGGCAAGAGCCGGCCCCCGGCUCGGAGCGAGCACCGUGACCCCCCCUCCGCCGGCACCCGCAGCUCGCUCGGGACUCCGGCGUCUAAGUAGUGGCCCGGCAGGACGUGAAGGAUCAGGGACCCACUGGUGGCCUGGGACGGGACCAGACGGCAGCAGAGCUCAGGGAGCAGCUGAGCAGUUACGCUGGGAGCCUCCUGGCUGCUGGGAGCCCCAGGGUCACGUCCUGCAUCAGUCCUCACUGUCACCUCCGGCCAAGCACCCAGCAAGGAGCUGGUGGCACCACGAUGUCCCAGGCAGAAGCCCCUUUGCUUGAACCUUUAGCUGCCUCAACCUUUCCGAAAGGCAUUUCUCACCACAAACCGCUGAAAUGCUGUGGGUGCAGGGCUGCUCCGGGGGCACGCGCCGCAGGAGCACCCCAUCCUUCAGUCUCAUUGCUC
rnacentral:lncRNA from 1 species